rnacentral:tRNA from 1 species
GUUUUUACUGGGUAAAUGAAGUUUUGAAAACUUUUUAGAAGUGUUCGAUUCACUUAAAAUCU